GGCGUUUUACUUAUAAACAAUACUGAAUGGAGUUGAAAGACUACGAAGGAGACUUUACAAUUAAUAACAAAUCUCAUGUCAGACAGUUAUAUUUAAAUUGGACUACAUUGGAUGGGCAGGCUCCGGCCUAAUGGGCGUUCCUGAUGCUUGUUACGGAUGUAGACAAAGAAUCUACAAAUAUCAGGAAAAAAAUGUCUUGACUCGAUCGUGAAAGGGCAACGGAACUUACCAGUACUUUAUGGAUAGCCAAAAAUAUUGUCACUCAUCAAGCUUCCUGCAAAAAUUCUGGAUAUGCAAUUAAUUAAAAUAUAAUGUGAAUUCUAUUUUUUAAAUAUUUUUCUCUGCAAGAAUUUAAAAAAUAAUAUAAAGAAUAUGUAUUAAUUCGUGUAGGCUUUAUGUUUAUUAAUAUUGUAUUAUUACUGCUAAUGUUUAUCUUAAUAACAGAGAAAAUAACCCGUUUGCUGUAAAGAAUAUAGACGUGUCAGAUAAUAAUAUAAUUUUAAGGAUUAAAAUCAGGUCUAUUGAUUUUUGCCGAAUGUACAUAUAAUAUAUACAAUAAUAAAAUGUAUACAUAUAUCCCAACUUGAUUUCAAUGCUU